UACAGAGGGUGCGAGCGUUAAUCGGAAUUACUGGGCGUAAAGCGCGCGUAGGCGGCUUUUCAAGUCGAUUGUGAAAUCCCCGGGCUUAACCUGGGAACUGCAGUCGAGACUGUCUAGCUAGAGUAUGGGAGAGGGAAGUGGAAUUUCAGGUGUAGCGGUGAAAUGCGUAGAUAUCUGAAGGAACGUCAGUGGCGAAAGCGACUUCCUGGACCAAUACUGACGCUCAUGUGCGAAAGCGUGGGGAGCAAACAGG
rnacentral:rRNA from 1 species